rnacentral:rRNA from 1 species
UACGUAGGUGGCGAGCGUUGUCCAGAUUUACUGGGCGUAAAGGGAGCGUAGGCGGACUUUUAAGUGAGAUGUGAAAUACCCGGGCUCAACUUGGGUGCUGCAUUUCAAACUGGAAGUCUAGAGUGCAGGAGAGGAGAAUGGAAUUCCUAGUGUAGCGGUGAAAUGCGUAGAGAUUAGGAAGAACACCAGUGGCGAAGGCGAUUCUCUGGACUAUAACUGACGCUGAGGCUCGAAAGCGUGGGGAGCGAACAGGAUUAGAUACCCCCGUA